rnacentral:rRNA from 1 species
UACGGGGGAUGCAAGCGUUAUCCGGAAUUAUUGGGCGUAAAGCGCCUGUAGGUUGUUUAAUAAGUCUGUUGUUAAAGACUAGGGCUUAACCCUGGAAAAGCAAUAGAAACUACUAGACUAGAGUAUGGCAGGGGUAGAGGGAAUUUCUAGUGUAGCGGUGAAAUGCGUAGAUAUUAGAAAGAACACCAGUGGCGAAAGCGCUCUACUGGACCAUUACUGACACUCAGAGGCGAAAGCUAGGGUAGCAAAAGGGAUUAGAUACCCCUGUAGUCUUAGCUGUAAACGAUGGAUACUAGAUGUUGUGCAUGAUGUACAGUAUCGUAGCUAACGCGUUAAGUAUCCCGCCUGGGGAGUACGCUCGCAAGGGUG